ACUAUUUUGGCAGAUAAGUGCGCUAGAUUUAGAAUCUAUUAAUGUAAGUUUUAUUUACAGGUAGUA
rnacentral:tRNA from 1 species